rnacentral:lncRNA from 1 species
UUUUCCUUUCAACUUAUCAAGCUUCUUAGUUUGUGGCGUUUUAAGGGAAUCAAAGUACUAUUCUAAUUACUUCAUCAAAUUUUCAUUGAUUAUGUGAUUAGAAUAGUUUUCCUAACUUUAAUCUUGAACGAUCCAUCUUGUUUCAAAUCGUUGGAGGGGGUCAAUUUGCAUUCCAUAUGUAUCAUAGCUCUUUAGCUAUCGGGGUAUAUGGUUGCUAAGUUGAAGAUUUUCAUC